rnacentral:lncRNA from 1 species
AUGGGAGAUGGAGAUUCCACCGUCACCUCUUCAUCAUCCCUCGAGCUGCCACGGAGGCUGGUGCCGGUUCCAGCUGGGAAGGGGGGAACAAAAGAAAAAGAGAGAGAGCAGGAGGGGCAGAAGAACAUAUUAGCACGGAGUGGAAGUGAAGCCCCAGAAGAUGGACCGUCACCUAUGCUCGUGCCUCCUGAGCAAAGCAAGUUUUGGAUGGGGAAGUUCUGCCCUGCUCACACACCUUAUCUCCUUGUGAUCGAAGGUCAUCCGCUGCAGCAGCUAGGCCGUGUUUGUCCACCUCCCCUCUUUCUGCGCAGCGGAUUCGGUGCCGGCUUUUCAAGAGAUGGCUUCAGACUGUGCCCCUUACUCACCGAGGCGUCCCUUAAAGUUCGCUUUCAGCUUGGCAUGAUGUGA